rnacentral:misc_RNA from 1 species
GAUGAACUUACGCAUGAGACAAGCUGUAAUCAUAUCAUUGCCCUCUAAACGGGCAAGAGAAAAUUCCACCCACUAAAUUAAUCAUCUCUUUCUUAGCCUAUUGUUAUUGCUAUUACUGACCAGUUCUGACCUUCCCUGCGCUCUCUCUCUCUCUCUGCCUCUGCGCUAGCUAAAGAACUACAUGCUCUCUGCCAAAAGGGAAAGAAAAGAGAAAGGAAAGGAAU